GAAGCAAAAUUGUGCCAUGAGUUCCCAUUAACGUCAACCUCUUUUUCUUCCAUAGGGAUGGUUUUUAGAUGUCUGAUGGGCGUUGCUUCAGUUGCGUAUGACUCAUGGUAGAUAAAUUUACUAGAAAGAUGUAUCUCCAGCUGUUGAUAUUAGAGGGGAAAGCCUUUCUCUUUCACCUCGCUUUUUUAAACACCUGAUACAGUUGGUCAUGAUUCGUUCUACAUUU
rnacentral:snoRNA from 19 species